GGCUGUUUGGCUGUCACUUGUAGCAAUAACGGCAUUAGUUCUAGUCAGUGCUGUUUUACAUUUUUCUUUUGAUGGGUUUAGUCUUGCACUGGAGUGCCGAUGGUGAUUCUCCCUCCAGAGCCACGCUUGGGAACAUGAAGCAAGCCUGGCAUGUGGGCUGCGUGCCGGCCUUAGUGGACCCGUGGGGAUGGAGCAUGCCUUUAGGGGCAGUGUCUGGGCUGGAAGCACGUGCCACCACACAGUGCCAGAGCCAGAGAAGGGGCCCAACCACCAAGGCCAAGUUUGACCAGGUCGGCAUUGCCAUGACCCAGUGUGGCCCGUGGCCUCUGAAGACCCCUCUCUGCAGGGUUUGCAGGGAUCUGGAUUGCAAGGGCCGGAGUCUGUAGGUCUGGAAGCAUCUUCCUAUAAGAGCGCUUUUGCCUGGUGGGUCAGGACUCCAAGGUGCAGCAGGCUUCACAGCCCUACAAUUAAGUUCUCAGCUAAUCCCCAGAGUUCUGGUAGAACCAUCCCGGGGCGGGCGGAGGGGGGGAUUCAAGGGAGACAGGAACACAUGGGCAGGUCCUGGAAUUCGGUGGCCUGAGGACUGAGGCCAUCGCCUGGUGGAAAGGCCUGGCCAGGUUCCCGUGGCGUGGUACCUGAAUAGGCAGGUGCUGCUGGCUCCGUAGAAACCCUUUCCCCAUCUUUUGCUGUUUGCCAAACCAACCUUGCUUUGGGAGCUGCCUGCACGCCCCCCCCAGAGAAGGCCCCACCUUCUGCGCCCCUCAGACCCGAGGAGGUCUCCCAGUGAGGAGUUUGCCAAGAGGGGGACUCACAGGAAACAAGGCUUGGUGCUUGGGAGGGAGGCCCCGCUGCGUGCUCAGACUCAGCCAACCUGGAAGGUAGACGAGGAGAUGGCACCACCCACGCGCCUCCACACCCCAGACUCCGAGUAAAGCGGGCAGCAGGGCAGGAGUCACCCCUUGUGGCAGUGGCCGCCGCUGUACUCCAUCCUCCCAUCGGGAAGAUCAGCUGUAAAUAAACGCUGGGCUCUUCAGAGCACCUGUCCGCCCACUGCCCUUGCUGUCCUGGGCUCUUCGCUGCAGUUCACGGGAAACCAGCCUGAGUCUGCCCGCAUCCGCGAC